rnacentral:tRNA from 1 species
GCCCUCAUGGCACAGCUGGAAUAGCGCAGUCCCCUCCUAAGGGACAGGUGCGUAGGUUCGAAUCCUACUGGGGGCGCCA